UAACUCUGAAUCACAGGAAACCACCCAAUCAUAAAACACUAGUAACUAGUGAUUUCUUCAGAAGUGAAUGGAUAAUACUGAAUGUCUCACUGAGAAAUAAAAAUUCUACCUUCCCUCGCCUAGUCACAGCUGAAGGAAACAAUAAACUAAGUGUGGACCAAU